rnacentral:rRNA from 1 species
AGUUCAGAUUGCAGGCUGNAACCGCCUGCAUGAAGUCGGAAUUGCUAGUAAUCGCGGAUCAGCAUGCCGCGGUGAAUACGUUCCCGGGCCUUGUACACACCGCCCGUCACACCAUGGGAGCCGGUAAUACCCGAAGUCAGUAGUCCAACCUCGUGAGGACGCUGCCGAAGGUAGGAUUGGCGACUGGGGUGAAGUCGUAACAAGGUACC